GUGGAUUACUGCACACACUGACUCCCAGUCACCGGUUGAACCAACUCCUGAACUGAAUAUACAACAGUUAUUUUCUCUUAUCUCUGCAAUCUUCCCAGCUCCCAUUUAAAAACAUGGGAAACGAUACUUCACGCUCAAAUACCCACGUUGCCAAUGCAACUGGGAAGCAUAUUCGGAUUUUCUAUGGAGUAGAUACAAUGAGGCUGGAAGAAAUGGUAAUAAAUGUGGGAGCAGGGAUAGAAGGUAAAGCAUCAAAAACUGAGCAAUCAGUAACAGGGACGAUUUCCAGCGAUAUGAAGAUGGUUUUUAAACCAGACUCCCGGGUCCGUUACAUUCACGUGCCGCAGAAUGAGACAUGUAACUUCGCAGGGGAAGGCACCAUCUAUGCCACUGUCCUUAUGGAAGAUGAAAAGGAUGAAAAAAUCUGCAAUGGUGUCAUUUGCCAAAAUUUCAAGAUCCCAGACGACCGGUCUUUUAUCGUGACUGCCAAUCAUACCAUCAAAUUGCAAAAGUAUGGCGCAGGCCUUUGGAUUGAUGAGAGUGGCACGAACCAUCAGACUUAACUUUCCUCUUCAUCCUCCUCCGUAAUCUUAUUGUGUUCUAAUUUUGAUAAGCAGAUAAGAUGGCCAUUUUGGCAAGGUUAAUUGGAAUAGUAAUAGUUUAGAUCAGUGGUUCUCAGCCUUUUUGAUUCCAUAAUGAAACUAAAGCCACAAGUCUACUAAUUCUUAAUUUGAAAAUUCAUAAUAUAAUCUGUAAAACUGUGAAUUUUAUCAAACAUUUUCUAAGACUAUGUCGUGUGUUAUUAGAGAAGGCUAAUAAAAGGCUAAUACAAUUGA